rnacentral:rRNA from 1 species
AAACCAACAGGGAUUGCCUUAGUAACGGCGAGUGAAGCGGCAAAAGCUCAAAUUUGAAAUCGGCCAACAGGUCGAGUUGUAAUUUGUAGAUUGUAUCUUGAGAGCGGAUUAAAGUCUGUUGGAAUACAGCGCCUUAGAGGGUGACAGCCCCGUAAAAUCUAUUCUCAUUGUAAGAUACUUUCGAAGAGUCGAGUUGUUUGGGAAUGCAGCUCUAAGUGGGAGGUAAAUUCCUUCUAAAGCUAAAUAUUGACGAGAGACCGAUAGCGAACAAGUACUGUGAAGGAAAGAUGAAAAGCACUUUGAAAAGAGAGUGAAAAAGUACGUGAAAUUGUUAAAAGGGAAGGGUAUUGAAUCAGACGUGGUUUUGUUGUUCAGCAUUGUUUCGGCAGUGUGUAUUCAACAAUACUAGGCCAAGGUGGGGUGAUUGGGAGUGAAAAAGAAGUAGGAAUGUAGCUCCUCGGAGUGUUAUAACCUACUUUCAUAACUCCUCAGUCGCCUCAGGACUGCGCUUCGGCAAGGACUUUGGCAUAAUGAUUCUAUACCGCCC